UACCUUCGUAAAGUUGUAAGGAAAUCAUACAAUCAACAUGCUGAAAAUUGGAAGUCUUCUCGUUAUUGCUUUGGUGUGUCUGACUGUCGUAAGUGGAAACGUCAUGCAAUGUCAAGAUGUAUCACAGUUUAGUCCGUGUCAUGACAGUCUGAAGAAAACAAUCUGGACAUACAGAAAUCAACAAGGAGCAUGCAAGCAAAGAACUGGUUGUUACGCAGCGGGCAAAAACGUUUUCACAACAGAAGCUGCCUGUAAACUUGGAUGUGGCUUAUAAUUAGGUCAUACAAGCCGAAAUCAUCAGAAGAAUACACAUUUAAAACAAAAUCAUCCACAGACUUAUAAAAUACUAGAAGCCAGAUAUAAAGAAAAUUGAACGAUGCUGAUUUGAAACAUUUUCGUUUUCAAAAUUAUUUAGCAAGGCAGCAUACUUUAUGAAAUAAUUCAAUUAGAAGACCUAAAAAAUGUUUUCAAUACCCGGCGCUAUUAUGGAAAGUGACACUAGUUAUGAAAAUAAAAGUGUGUA